GACUAACGCUGGCGGCGUGCUUAACACAUGCAAGUCGAACCAUGUUGCGAACGGGUGAGUAAUACGUGGGUAACCUGCCCUCCUUUUUGGGAUAAGCCUUGGAAACGGGGUCUAAUACCGAAUAAAGGGGGAUGGGCUCGCGGCCUAUCAGCUUGUUGGUGGGGUGAUGGCCUACCAAGGCGGUGACGGGUAGCCGGACUGAGAGGGUGACCGGGCACAUUGGGGCUGGGAUACGGCCCAGACUCCUACGGGAGGCAGCAGUGGGGGAUAGUGCACAAUGGGCGAAAGCCUGAUGCAGCUACGCCGCGUGGGGGAUGAAGGCUUUCGAGUUGUAAACCUAUUUCGCGAUAGAACGGGUAGGUGGAGAAGAAGCGCCGGCUAACUACGUGCCAGCAGCCGCGGUAAUAC
rnacentral:rRNA from 1 species